rnacentral:lncRNA from 1 species
ACAAACAUUUUUUAUAUCAAAGAAUAAAACAUAACAACAAACCUCCCAAUAAAAUUUAUUACAUAACAGACACAGUGACUCAUUAAACUGUAGGAUAGUUCAACAAUGUUAGUAACUAACAACAUAUGGUGUUUCCAUUAAUAUUAUAGGUGCGACAUUGUCCUACUAAAUAAAAAAUAGCAUAAAAAAACAUCUACAUUGCAAUCAUAUCAAAACACUACACUAAUUUAAAUCUUCUUCUUUAUGCGUCCAUCCUUCACCCAUGGGGAAAGCAGAACCCCACUUUUUACACGGUUUCUUGGCUUGUCCUUAAUUCUAGUUAAGAGAUUUGAUGCAUGAUGUGCUUCAUCAUAUGAUACAUUUGCCACCUCCCUUUCAAUAACUCUUUCAAUCUCAUCCAUGGAGACGUCCUCGUAAACACAUUCAUCAUUGAAGACACCUUCGUCCACAUAACUGGAUUGUGCACUACCGAAUAACUUCUUCAUCUCUCUAGUUUCCGAUUCAAGAAGAGAUAUCCUUGCGGCAAGUCGUUUGUUUGCUUCACCCAACAGGCGAUUGUUAACAAUUAACUGACUAAUAAUAAGAUCUGGUCUCCAUUUAAUAUAUCCACUUGGCGCUCGAUCUAACGCCUCCCUCACAACUUCAUUUGCAACCUCUUCUUUAGUUGCACUUAACUCUUCAAUAACCUGGCAAGGUUGAUACAAUAUAAAUAUUAAUGAACUAUUGACACCGCUUAAACCCUAUAUACAAAAUUCAUAUAGUUAAAUAUAAAUAAUAAUAUUUAUUCAACCUUAUCAAAUAAUUACCAAGCAAGUGUGAUAUAUUUUUGCCAACCAAACUAACACCACGCGCCUUCAUAAAUCGUGGAAACGUCAAUGGAGAAUCAUGAUAACUUCGUUCGUAUCCUAGUACAUGCUCUAGAGCCCAUACCUAUAUAUACAUAUAUAAUAUGACUAUUAUAAUUUAAUAAAAAUAAAUAAAUUAAAUUAAAUUGUUGCCAUAAAAUGACAUGAAGACAAAGAGUGGCCUACAAAACAAACACUCUUUCAUCUCCUAUAAAACUUCAUCCUAUGUCAUAUAGAGUUAUAAGUUGAUAUACUCAAAUUCAACGACAAUCAUCUGUAUUUAAAAGUGCUUACAAAUUAUUACUACAUUUUAAUAUGAGUUACACUUGUUUCAGUCACAGUUGCUAACAAGCUCUAAAUAUCAAUGAAUAAAAGAUAAAUUAUAAUCAUGUCACAAUAUGGCAUGAAGACAAAAAGUAAACAUCAAAUUAAAGUUAAACUUCACAAUUUUUUAUGUAACCCAACAUAACUUGAAAUCAAUACUCAAGGUCACAAUCAUAAUACAAUAUAAAGUAGAUGCAAAACUUUUAUAGAUAAAUGACGCAACAAGUAUAUAGCAGAAUUAGUAACAACCAACAUACAAUUCAUAACAAUUUCUUUUCAUUCAGAAAACAACAAUCAAGCCCACAACUAUUAAUUUAAUAUUCAAUCGCAAUUCGCACCAUCAUAAAAUAAGCUUAAA